rnacentral:rRNA from 1 species
UACGGGGGGGGCAAGCGUUGUUCGGAAUUACUGGGCGUAAAGGGCUCGUAGGCGGCCAACUAAGUCAGACGUGAAAUCCCUCAGCUUAACUGGGGAACUGCGUCUGAGACUGAUGAGCUUGAGUGCAGGAGAGGAACGCGGAAUUCCAGGUGUAGCGGUGAAAUGCGUAGAUAUCUGGAGGAACACCGGUGGCGAAGGCGGCGUUCUGGACUGCAACUGACACUGAGGAACGAAAGCCAGGGGAGCAAACGGG